rnacentral:rRNA from 1 species
GCUCAAAUUUGAAAUCGGCCACCAGGUCGAGUUGUAAUUUGUAGAUUGUAUCUUGAGAGCGGAUUAAAGUCUGUUGGAACACAGCGCCUUAGAGGGUGACAGCCCCGUAAAAUCUAUUCUCAUUGUAAGAUACUUUCGAAGAGUCGAGUUGUUUGGGAAUGCAGCUCUAAGUGGGAGGUAAAUUCCUUCUAAAGCUAAAUAUUGACGAGAGACCGAUAGCGAACAAGUACUGUGAAGGAAAGAUGAAAAGCACUUUGAAAAGAGAGUGAAAAAGUACGUGAAAUUGUUAAAAGGGAAGGGUAUUGAAUCAGACUUGGUGCUGUUGUUCAACUGUGUUUCGGCACAGUGUACUCAGCAGUACUAGGCCAAGGUGGGGUGUUUGGGAGUGAAAAAGAAGUUGGAACGUAACUCUUCGGAGUGUUAUAGCCUACUUUCAUAGCUCCUCAGGCGCCUCAGGACUGCGCUUCGGCAAGGACCUUGGCAUAAUGAUUCUAUACCGC